rnacentral:tRNA from 2 species
GGGGGCGUAGCUCAGUUGGCUAGAGCGUUUGACUGGCAGUCAAGAGGUCGCGGGUUCGAGCCCCGCCGUCUCCACCA